rnacentral:rRNA from 1 species
CCUACGGGAGGCAGCAGUGAGGAAUAUUGGUCAAUGGACGAGAGUCUGAACCAGCCAAGUAGCGUGAAGGAUGACUGCCCUAUGGGUUGUAAACUUCUUUUAUAUGGGAAUAAAAUGUUCCACGUGUGGGAUUUUGUAUGUACCAUAUGAAUAAGGAUCGGCUAACUCCGUGCCAGCAGCCGCGGUAAUACGGAGGAUCCGAGCGUUAUCCGGAUUUAUUGGGGUUAAAGGGAGCGUAGGUGGAUUGUUAAGUCAGUUGUGAAAGUUUGCGGCUCAACCGUAAAAUUGCAGUUGAAACUGGCAGUCUUGAGUAGAGGAGAGGUGGGCGGAAUGCGUGGUGUAGCGGUGAAAUGCUUAGAUAUCACGAAGAACUCCGAUUGCGAAGGCAGUUCACUGGACGGCAACUGACACUGAGGCUCGAAAGUGUGGGUAUCAAACAGGAUUAGAUACCCGUGUAGUC